UUCUAGGAGCUUCGUGGUGCAGAUGGGUUAGGAUUAUGGAGUUGUAGAGGCCCACGCCGGACACUUUGUCUGGCAGGAACUUUGGCUUUGGUGGAUGGCUCUCAGUAAAUCAAUGCAUGCAAGAAACAGAUACAAGGACAAACCUCCCGACUUUGCAUAUCUGGCAUCCAAAUACUCAGAUUUUAAGCAGCAUGUUCAGAUAAACCUGAAUGGAAGAGUGAGUCUAAAUUUUAAAGACCCUGAAGCAGUCGGAGCUCUGACUUGUACUCUCCUAAGGGAAGAUUUUGGACUUUCUAUUGAUAUUCCUCUGGAGAGACUAAUUCCCACCGUUCCUUUGAGACUCAACUAUAUUCAUUGGGUUGAAGAUCUCAUUGGUCACCAGGACUCUGACAAAAAUACUCUCCGAAGAGGAAUUGAUAUAGGUACUGGGGCAUCCUGCAUCUAUCCUUUAUUAGGAGCAACCUUAAAUGGCUGGUAUUUCCUUGCAACGGAAGUGGAUGAUAUGUGCUUCAACUAUGCAAAGAAAAAUGUGGAACAGAAUAAUUUAUCUGAUCUCAUAAAAGUGGUUAAAGUACCCCAGAAGACCCUCCUGAUGGAUGCUCUUAAAGAAGAAUCUGAGAUAAUCUAUGAUUUUUGCAUGUGCAACCCUCCCUUCUUUGCCAACCAGUUGGAAGCCAAGGGCGUGAACUCUCGAAAUCCUCGAAGACUUCCACCUAAUUCUGUCAAUACCGGAGGUAUCACAGAGAUCAUGGCAGAAGGAGGUGAAUUGGAGUUUGUUAAAAAGAAUCAUCCAUGACAGUAUACAACUUAAAAAAUGAUUAAGGAACAGAGAAACCUAG